AUAUUAAACUAAUGACAUUCCAUAAGAAUAAAAAUCCAAUAGGACCAAGAUCUUAGCAGUUCACACCAAGUCAUAGGGACAAAAUUGAGAACCAUGCAGAUCAGCAAGUGUAAGUUACACUCUAAUGACCAACAGGAUAUCUGAAUUGGAAAAUUGCAAGAUUUCCCACUGCCCAAGCUGUUUGAGUACCGGUAUCACAACUAGUACCAAGACGGAAGAAAUAUGAAGGCCGAGUUAAUUAACAGUUACUUCAAAUUUAUUUGAAUAGAUAUAUCAACAAAGCAUCGAAUUUUCUUUAAACUGCACAUCUCUAGGAAAAGUGCAGUACAAGUUCAGGUUCAUCAGCGGGCAAUGACAUUAAAGUAUACAAAAUUUUACACAAAAUACAAUUAAGAAAUAUUAUUUUCCAAUGGGCAAA